UACGUAGGGACCAAGCGUUGUCCGGAAUCAUUGGGCGUAAAGGGCGCGUAGGUGGCCCGGUCAGUUCGUGGUGAAAGCGCGGGGCUCAACCCUGCGUCGGCCAUGAAUACUGCCGCGGCUGGAGCACUGUAGAGGCAGGCGGAAUUCCGGGUGUAGCGGUGGAAUGCGUAGAGAUCCGGAAGAACACCGGUGGCGAAGGCGGCCUGCUGGGGCAGUUGCUGACACUGAGGCGCGACAGCGUGGGGAGCAAACAGGG
rnacentral:rRNA from 1 species